rnacentral:rRNA from 1 species
AGUCGAACGGUAACAGGUCUUCGGACGCUGACGAGUGGCGAACGGGUGAGUAAUACAUCGGAACGUGCCCAGUCGUGGGGGAUAACUACUCGAAAGAGUAGCUAAUACCGCAUACGAUCUGAGGAUGAAAGCGGGGGACCUUCGGGCCUCGCGCGAUUGGAGCGGCCGAUGGCAGAUUAGGUAGUUGGUGGGAUAAAAGCUUACCAAGCCGACGAUCUGUAGCUGGUCUGAGAGGACGACCAGCCACACUGGGACUGAGACACGGCCCAGACUCCUACGGGAGGCAGCAGUGGGGAAUUUUGGACAAUGGGCGAAAGCCUGAUCCAGCAAUGCCGCGUGCAGGAUGAAGGCCUUCGGGUUGUAAACUGCUUUUGUACGGAACGAAAAAGCUCCUUCUAAUACAGGGGGCCCAUGAC